GACGGGUGAGUAACGCGUGGGUAACCUGCCUCUUACAGGGGGAUAACAGUUGGAAACGGCUGCUAAUACCGCAUAAGCGCACAGCAUCGCAUGAUGCAGUGUGAAAAACUCCGGUGGUAUAAGAUGGACCCGCGUUGGAUUAGCUAGUUGGUGAGGUAACGGCCCACCAAGGCGACGAUCCAUAGCCGACCUGAGAGGGUGACCGGCCACAUUGGGACUGAGACACGGCCCAAACUCCUACGGGAGGCAGCAGUGGGGAAUAUUGCACAAUGGGCGAAAGCCUGAUGCAGCGACGCCGCGUGAGCGAAGAAGUAUUUCGGUAUGUAAAGCUCUAUCGGCAGGUAUUUUAAUGACGGUACCUGAGUAAGAAGCCCCGGCUAACUACGUGCCAGCAGCCGCGGUAAUACGUAGGGGGCAAGCGUUAUCCGGAUUUACUGGGUGUAAAGGGAGCGUAGACGGCGAGGCAAGUCUGAUGUGAAAGCCUGGGGCUCAACCCCGGGACUGCAUUGGAAACUGCUUUGCUGGAGUGCCGGAGAGGUAAGCGGAAUUCCUAGUGUAGCGGUGAAAUGCGUAGAUAUUAGGAGGAACACCAGUGGCGAAGGCGGCUUACUGGACGGUAACUGACGUUGAGGCUCGAAAGCGUGGGGAGCAAACAGGAUUAGAUACCCUGGUAGUCCACGCGGUAAACGAU
rnacentral:rRNA from 1 species